UUUUCACAUAAAUUGCUUUCG
rnacentral:piRNA from 1 species